GCAUAUCAAUAAGCGGAGGAAAAGAAACCAACAGGGAUUGCCCUUAGUAACGGCGAAGUGAAGCGGCAACAGCUCAAAUUUGAAAUCUGGCUCUCUUUGGGGGUCCGAGUUGUAAUUUGCAGAGGAUGCUUUGGUAUUGUCGGCGGUCUAAGUUCCUUGGAACAGGACAUCACAGAGGGUGAGAAUCCCGUACGUGGUCGCCUGCCUUUACCGUGUAAAGCUCCUUCGACGAGUCGAGUUGUUUGGGAAUGCAGCUCUAAAUGGGAGGUAAAUUUCUUCUAAAGCUAAAUACCGGCCAGAGACCGAUAGCGCACAAGUAGAGUGAUCGAAAGAUGAAAAGUACUUUGGAAAGAGAGUCAAAAAGCACGUGAAAUUGUUGAAAGGGAAGCGCUUGCAGCCAGACUUGCCCGCAGUUGCUCACCUAGGCUUUUGCCUGGGGCAUUCUUCUGCGGGCAGGCCAGCAUCAGUUUGGGCGGUUGGAUAAAGGCCUCUGUCACGUAUCUCCCUUCGGGGUGACCUUAUAGGGGAGGCGUAAUGCAACCAGCCCGGACUGAGGUCCGCGCAUCUGCUAGGAUGCUGGCGUAAUGGCUGUAAGCGGCCCGUCUUGAAACACGGACCAAGGAGUCUAACAUCUAUGCGAGUGUUUGGGUGUCAAGCCCGAGCGCGUAAUGAAAGUGAACGGAGGUGGGAACCUUUUAGGUGCACCAUCGACCGAUCCUGAUGUCUUCGGAUGGAUUUGAGUAAGAGCAUAGCUGUUGGGACCCGAAAGAUGGUGAACUAUGCUUGAAUAGGGUGAAGCCAGAGGAAACUCUGGUGGAGGCUCGCAGCGGUUCUGACGUGCAAAUCGAUCGUCAAAUUUGGGCAUAGGGGCGAAAGACUAAUCGAACCAUCUAGUAGCUGGCUCUGCGA
rnacentral:rRNA from 1 species